ensembl:lncRNA A1BG-AS1 A1BG antisense RNA 1
UCAUCUUCCCUGUCUUGUUCCUGGGCGCAGAGGGCUCCUCCGGCGCCGCCGAGCUGCGCCCGCUGCCUUCACACCCCGGACAUCCGCGCCACACGUGACACCUGCGGAGACAGCCCCCGUAAGGCUCCUGUUCCCGCCCCCUCCCGCCCCAGGGACCCAGACCCCAGGAGGCCUCACCCCACAGCAAGAGAAAGACCACGAGCAUGGACAUGAUGGUCGCGCUCACUCCGGUGCAGUGAGUGUCUGGGUGAUGGAUCCUAGAACCUGUUCUAGAAGGAGACGCUGAGUUCUCCCCACUCUACCUGGAGCUGCUGAGGUCAAGUGGAGAGUGCCGGGGCUGAAGCCCAGCGAGCCCCUCCCUGUCACACCACACUGCACAUGUGACACCAAAGGUGGGGUUCACCUCUUUUCAGACUUUCUGCGGUUGCCCUCACAUGGGCUGUCUGGAGGUGCACCCUCACUCUUCCUGAGGACUGUGGUUCCUUCUCCAUCACUGGUUCAUUCUGCAUGGUGUGACCCACCACGGCUCUGGAGUCGGAUUUCCACCCAGGUCAUUCAGCUGAGACCUGCGCUUCCCAGGCCUACCCGUGACAUGUGCUCAGUUACCUGAGCUGCUGGUGGUCACUCAUGUGGCUAUAGCCUGCUGCCUGGAGGCCAGGCCUCCCGCUUCCCCUGCCUCCCCCUCUCCUCACCACAGCCUGUUGGGAUGGAACAGGACAGGGGUGAGACCGUGGUGCUUUCACACUCAGCCUCCAUGGACAUCCUGUCAUUCCCACCCGGGGAGGUCUGGUCCCCACCCUGGGUGUCCCAGCCUAGCUCCGCUACGAGUGUGAGGGCCCAGGGCAACCGCCUAGCCCUCAUCUGCCCCCUGCACUGCAUCCUCCCCACUCAUUCAUUCCACAGGCAUUUAUUGAGCAUCUACUGUGUGCCAGAUGCAAAGAAGACAGUGGGAUAACUGGGCAAGGAGCAUUCCAGGCAGAGGGAACAGCCAGUGCAAACAUGGGAGAUGCGGGUGCAGUGAGAAGGAGCAGAGGAGACCAGGAGUUGAGGCGACUGCAGAGCGAUUGCAGAGCUCAUAGACGUGAUGAAGACCAGCUGGGCACUGCAGCGGCUCUGGCUUCUGCUGUGAGGGACGGGGAGCUGUGGAGACUCCCUCUGUUUGGUCCCAUUUCCAUAUUGCUGAGCACCUGCUGCAUGCUCUCUGUCCUGCUCAGAGCCAGUACCUGGAUGGAGGCUGUGUGUUCUGGGUGGACUGGGGGAGAAUGCAUUCUUUGCAGAAGAGACAACCAGGUGCUGAGGCCUGAAGUCAUAACCAGACCUGGGGCACUCAGACAAGGACUGGUGGCCAGGCCAGAGGAGCAGAGCUCAGGGUGUGCACAGAACUCAGAAGUCAGACCACUGAACAGUGACAGAACCUUUCAGCCCAUUGGCAAUGAGGCUGCCCAGGCAGCCAGAGGCCUGGUCAAAUCUGAGGUCUGCAGAGAUGGAGCUGUCAUUCUGUGUUUCCUUUGGCAGUCCCAACACCAGCCUCGUUGCACCCUCCUCUUAGCUUCCCUGGGUUCUCCAGCCCUAAGGGUGGUAGCAGCUUCCUGCAAGUAUCCAGCUCUGAGAUUCUGCAACAUCCACUUUUGCUCUCUGAGCCUUGCAAAACCUGCACAAUCAGUCCCUAACUUAUAUCCCCUCUGUUUGAAAUACCUAGUGUGGUUUCUAUUUCCUGA